AAUCAAACUAUCUUCAUUUAAACGUAGACUAAGAAUCACUGCACGACUAGUCUGAUUUUCCUUUAGUGCUGCAUCAACGGCUUCUGGUGUAAGAUCUAUGUCUAGAUCAGUGGGGUCAAAGAUAAAAGACUCAUCCAUAGAAUAGAUCAAGACCCCUUCUGUAGUUGCAGCUGCCCAACUCCUGCCAGUCGGGGCAAUUCUCAAGCAUUUUGUUCGAAUAACUGCUCUUCCAUGGUUGGGCAUUGACCCGGGCAAGUCAUAUGCCAAUUUAUUUCUCACUUGCUUAUCAACACCUUCUUCAGUGUCACUAUUAUCAUCAUCAAUCAAAUUGAGUGGACCACUCUCUGUCAU
rnacentral:misc_RNA from 1 species